rnacentral:misc_RNA from 1 species
UCCUCUCUCCCCUCCCGUCUCUUAUCGCCCCUUCCUCUUCUCCUUUCUCUUCUAUUUUUUCGCAAGCUACCAGCAGCUGCAUCAAACAACGACAGGCAGCCUUUCCGACCAGCAGCAGCAAGCGCGGAACCACCAGCCAGCAGCCGCUGGCAGUGCCCCUCUCUCCCAUCGUUCCAGCAGCCACAAGACAGCCUCAGCGAGCAGCCAGGCGACCUCGACCCUCCCCCUCUCUUCUCUGAUUUUCAGCAGGAUCGACCUCCG